rnacentral:rRNA from 1 species
AUUGAACGCUGGCGGCAUGCCUUACACAUGCAAGUCGAACGGUAACAGGUCUUCGGAUGCUGACGAGUGGCGAACGGGUGAGUAAUACAUCGGAACGUGCCUAGUAGUGGGGGAUAACUACUCGAAAGAGUGGCUAAUACCGCAUGAGAUCUACGGAUGAAAGCAGGGGAUCGCAAGACCUUGUGCUACUAGAGCGGCCGAUGGCAGAUUAGGUAGUUGGUGGGAUAAAAGCUUACCAAGCCGACGAUCUGUAGCUGGUCUGAGAGGACGAUCAGCGACACUGGGACUGGUACACGGCCCAGACUCCUACGGGAGGCAGCAGUGGGGAAUUUUGGACAAUGGGCGCAAGCCUGAUCCAGCAAUGCCGCGUGCAGGAUGAAGGCCUUCGGGUUGUAAACUGCUUUUGUACGGAACGAAAAGCCCUGGGUUAAUACCCUGGGGUCAUGACGGUACCGUAAGAAUAAGCACCGGCUAACUACGUGCCAGCCGCCGCAGUAAGAC